rnacentral:rRNA from 1 species
CAAUAGCGUAUAUUAAAGUUGUUGCAGUUAAAAGCUCGUAGUUGGAUUUCGGAGUGGGCCAGUUGGUCCGCCGCAAGGUGUGUUACUGACUGGUUUGCUCUUCUUCGCAAAGACUGCGUGUGCCCUUCAAUUGAGUGUGCAGUGAUGGACGUUUAACGGAAAUUUCAGUUUCAGCACGUUUUUUUAGCAAAAAAAUUUUUGAAAAAAUUGAAGGUGAUUGUCGUUCAAAAAAGGCCAAGGGGCCUUAAUUUUGGCCUUUUGGAAAAUUACAUGAGCAUGGAAUAAUGGAAUAGGGACUUUUGGUCCCAUUUUGUUGGUUUUCUAUGGGCCGAAGUAAUGAUUAA